rnacentral:rRNA from 1 species
UGAAUACGAGAUGCUACGGCGUCGAAGCAGUCUAUGUCAUACUUCCAAGAAAAGCUCGCACUGUCAUAAACAAAUAAUGCCUGUACCAUAACCGACACAGGUGGGUAGGUAGAGUAUACUAAGGGGCGCGAGAUAACUCUCUCUAAGGAACUCGGCAAAAUGACUCCGUAACUUCGGGAGAAGGAGUGCCUUAUUUUUAAGGUUGCAAUAACAAGAUCCAAGCAACUGUUUAUCAAAAACACAGGUCUCCGCUAAGUCGUAAGACGAUGUAUGGGGGCUGACGCCUGCCCAGUGCCAGAAGGUUAAAGAAGUUGGUUAGCAUUCGCGAAGCUGAUAACUGAAGCCCUGGUGAACGGCGGCCGUAACAAUAACGGUCCUAAGGUAGCGAAAUUCCUUGUCGGGUAAGUUCCGACCCGCACGAAAGGCGUAAUGAUUUGGAUACUGUCUCGGAGAGGGGCUCGGUGAAAUAGACUUGUCUGUGAAGAUGCGGACUACCUGCACCAGGACAGAAAGACCCUAUGAAGCUUUACUGUAACUUGAGAUUGAAAUUGGACUUUACUUGCGCAGUAUAGGUGGGAGGCGUUGAUAAUAUUCUUGCGGGAUUAUUUGAGCCAUCAGUGAGAUACCACUCUUGUAAUGUUAGAUUUCUAACUUUGUAUCAUUAUCUGGUCAAAGGACAGUUUCAGGCGGGCAGUUUGACUGGGGCGGUCGCCUCCUAAACGGUAACGGAGGCGCACAAAGGUUUCCUCUGAACGGGUAGAAAUCGUAUCUAGAGUGUAAAGGCAUAAGGAAGCUUGACUGUGAGACCUACAAGUCGAGCAGGGACGAAAGUCGGUCUUAGUGAUCUGACGGUGCUGAGUGGAAAGGCCGUCACUCAACGGAUAAAAGUUACUCUAGGAUAACAGGCUGAUCUCCCCCAAGAGUUCACAUCGACGGGGAGGUUUGGCACCUCGAUGUCGGCUCAUCGCAUCCUGGGGCGGUAGUACGUCCCAAGGGUUGGGCUGUUCGCCCAUGAAAGCGGUACGCGAGCUGGGUUCAGAACGUCGUGAGACAGUUCGGUCCAUAUCCGGUGUAGGCGUUAGAAUAUUGAGAGGAGCCUUCUUUAGUACGAGAGGACCGAGAAGGACAUACCUCUGGUGUACCAGUUAUCGUGCCAACGGUAAACGCUGGGUAGCUAUGUAUGGAGUGGAUAACCGCUGAAAGCAUCUAAGUGGGAAGCCCACCUCAAGAUAAGUAUUCUCAUC